CUGGGGUUAUAAACCCAAAAGUGCUUUAUCUAAGAUAGACAAUCAGGGUAGAUCCCUCCUUCAAAGAAUGACUUUAAGAAAGCCUGGAGGAAGUACCCCUAUGAAAUUAAUGUUAAAUAUUGAACAUCCUGGCCCCGAGGAUGCAGACCGAUAUGUAAUGGGAAUGUAUUGGAAGAAAGGUUCCUAAAACAAAUUAGGUCAUUUCUACCUCAGAGAUAUGUACCACUCUCCAGAGUGGCAAGGGGCUGAUCAUAUGGUCCCAAAUCCGCUAAAACCACAUAUCCAGUCCUUUAAAGAUAUGAUGGUCAUCGCUAACCCCACUUUUGAAGAUACCAUGGCCGCUGAAACUGGAUUCAAUGACAUUAAUUUGUGGUUAGAAUGGAUGAGGUAUAAUGCUAACAAACAUAAUAAAACAGCAUGUUAUGUAUGUGGCGGUGCCCGACCCCACCUUGGCACCGUCCCGCUAACUCUCCCUUUAGAGAUAGAAGAUUGCUUCUUAAGCCUUUUUUGCCUACCAAUAUGACUUUAAUAGGUCCCUCUGCAUGGCAUGGACGGCAGAAUACCCUCUCUUAGUUGAAAAUGUUAAGCCACCAGAUGGAGUCACAGUCUAUAGAGGUAAUUACACUUGUUAUGCCAUGUAUGACGGGAUUGGUAAAUUCAUGGGUAACUUUUCUAAAGGUUAUUGCCCCACUUACAGAACUGUUCCUAUACGCCUGUUGCAACACCAUACCAGGUCAUUGGGGGAUAUUUACUGGUUAUGUGGGGAUCUACAGUUAAGAUCUAGG